CAUCCUCUGUGGAAUGACAAUGAUGGCAGAGAGAGGGCGCCACAAACAGAGUAUAAAAGAGAGAACUAAAUGAGACGGUGUGAUAAACAAAAGGGCAGAUACAGAGAGAGAACCCCGGGAGAAGAGAGAGAUACAGAGAGAGAUAAUGGGAGUUUCAGAGACUAUUGGAAGGCAGACAGAGAUAAGGGGCAGUUAAUCUAAUGUAAGGAGCUUUCAGAGGUACAGAGGGUGAGUGGGGCACGGUUGUCCGGCGGCGCAGGGUGAGUGGGCCACGGCGCAGGGUGAGUGGGCCACGGCGCAGGGUGAGCGGGAGGACCCAGACGAGCUUGAUAUGUAGAGACAUAUGUAAAGCACACGUAUGUAAACCCUCUGCGGGUAUUAUCUGUAGACUGGCAUAUGCCCGAGGUAUGUACACGUGAUGCAGCCUGCAUGUGUCACGCGUGUCCUGGCAGAUCACGCACUUCAGUCACGCCCCCUCCCCAUAAUUACA